rnacentral:misc_RNA from 1 species
AACGCACAUUGCGCCCGGCAGUACUCUGCCGGGCAUGCCUGUUCGAGCGUCAUUUCAACCCUCAGGCCCGGCCUGGUGUUGGGGAUCUACAGCCCCUGUAGGCCCCGAAAGCGAGUGGCGGGCUCGCGUGCAGCUCCGAGCGUAGUAACACAAUUCUCGCUAGGGAGGCCUGCGGCGGCGCUCCGGCCGUUAAAGCAACUUUAACACACCCAAGGUUGACCUCGGAUCAGGUAGGAAUACCCGCUGAACUUAA